rnacentral:rRNA from 1 species
AUUGAACGCUGGCGGCAGGCCUAACACAUGCAAGUCGAGCGGAUGAAGGGAGCUUGCUCUUGGAUUCAGCGGCGGACGGGUGAGUAACGCCUAGGAAUCUGCCUGGGAGUGGGGGAUAAUGUCCGGAAACGGGCGCUAAUACCGCAUACGUCCCGAGGGAGAAAGUGGGGGAUGUUCGGACUUCACGCUAUCAGAUGAACCUAGGGCGGAUUAGCUUGUUGGUGGGGUAAAGGCCUACCAAGGCGUCGAUCCGUAACUGGUCUGAGAGGAUGAUCAGGCACACUGAAGGAGAGCCACCAUCCAGAGUCCUACCGAAGGCACCAGUUGCUACUGUAGGCAGAUGGGCGGAAGCCUGACCAAGGCGUGCCACGUCUGUGAAGGAAAUCUUCGGGCUGUAAAGCGCUUUUAGUUGUGAGGAAGGGCUGUAGCUUAAUACAUUGCUGUUUUGACGUUACCAACAGAAUAAGCACCGGCUAACUUCGUG